rnacentral:rRNA from 1 species
UCGUUGGGUAGGGGAGCGUUCUGUAAGCCGUUGAAGGUGUCCUGUGAGGGGUGCUGGAGGUAUCAGAAGUGCGAAUGCUGACAUAAGUAACGAUAAAGCGGGUGAAAAGCCCGCUCGCCGGAAGACCAAGGGUUCCUGUCCAACGUUAAUCGGGGCAGGGUGAGUCGACCCCUAAGGCGAGGCCGAAAGGCGUAGUCGAUGGGAAACGGGUUAAUAUUCCCGUACUUGGUGUUACUGCGAAGGGGGGACGGAGAAGGCUAUGUUGGCCGGGCGACGGUUGUCCCGGUUUAAGCGUGUAGGUGUGUGUUCCAGGUAAAUCCGGUUCACUUUAACACUGAGGCGUGAUGACGAGGCACCACGGUGCUGAAGCAACAAAUGCCCUGCUUCCAGGAAAAGCCUCUAAGCAUCAGGUAACAUCAAAUCGUACCCCAAACCGACACAGGUGGUCAGGUAGAGAAUACCAAGGCGCUUGAGAGAACUCGGGUGAAGGAACUAGGCAAAAUGGUGCCGUAACUUCGGGAGAAGGCACGCUGACACGUAGGUGAAGUGAUUUACUCAUGGAGCUGAAGUCAGUCGAAGAUACCAGCUGGCUGCAACUGUUUAUUAAAAACACAGCACUGUGCAAACACGAAAGUGGACGUAUACGGUGUGACGCCUGCCCGGUGCCGGAAGGUUAAUUGAUGGGGUCAGCGCAAGCGAAGCUCCUGAUCGAAGCCCCGGUAAACGGCGGCCGUAACUAUAACGGUCCUAAGGUAGCGAAAUUCCUUGUCGGGUAAGUUCCGACCUGCACGAAUGGCGUAAUGAUGGCCAGGCUGUCUCCACCCGAGACUCAGUGAAAUUGAACUCGCUGUGAAGAUGCAGUGUACCCGCGGCAAGACGGAAAGACCCCGUGAACCUUUACUAUAGCUUGACACUGAACAUUGAGCCUUGAUGUGUAGGAUAGGUGGGAGGCUUUGAAGCGUGGACGCCAGUCUGCGUGGAGCCGACCUUGAAAUACCACCCUUUAAUGUUUGAUGUUCUAACGUGGACCCGUAAUCCGGGUUGCGGACAGUGUCUGGUGGGUAGUUUGACUGGGGCGGUCUCCUCCUAAAGAGUAACGGAGGAGCACGAAGGUUGGCUAAUCCUGGUCGGACAUCAGGAGGUUAGUGCAAUGGCAUAAGCCAGCUUGACUGCGAGCGUGACGGCGCGAGCAGGUGCGAAAGCAGGUCAUAGUGAUCCGGUGGUUCUGAAUGGAAGGGCCAUCGCUCAACGGAUAAAAGGUACUCCGGGGAUAACAGGCUGAUACCGCCCAAGAGUUCAUAUCGACGGCGGUGUUUGGCACCUCGAUGUCGGCUCAUCACAUCCUGGGGCUGAAGUAGGUCCCAAGGGUAUGGCUGUUCGCCAUUUAAAGUGGUACGCGAGCUGGGUUUAGAACGUCGUGAGACAGUUCGGUCCCUAUCUGCCGUGGGCGCUGGAAGACUGAGGGGGGCUGCUCCUAGUACGAGAGGACCGGAGUGGACGCAUCACUGGUGUUCGGGUUGUCAUGCCAAUGGCACUGCCCGGUAGCUAAAUGCGGAAAAGAUAAGUGCUGAAAGCAUCUAAGCACGAAACUUGCCCCGAGAUGAGUCUUCCCUGAGACCUUGA